rnacentral:rRNA from 1 species
UACGAAGGGGGGCUAGCGUUGCUCGGAAUCACUGGGCGUAAAGCGCACGUAGGCGGGUUCUUAAGUCAGGGGUGAAAUCCUGGAGCUCAACUCCAGAACUGCCUUUGAUACUGGGAAUCUCGAGUCCGGGAGAGGUGAGUGGAACUGCGAGUGUAGAGGUGAAAUUCGUAGAUAUUCGCAAGAACACCAGUGGCGAAGGCGGCUCACUGGCCCGGUACUGACGCUGAGGUGCGAAAGCGUGGGGAGCAAACAGGG